GAUGUUCGAUCAUUUAUUUAUCCAUGGUACGUUCAAUUUGAAUAAUUAUCGUUAAUAAUUGUUAUAAAUUGCUCAUUUUAUUGUUCUUUGUGGAUUGUAACAGUACACUCUGUACAUGGCUUUAGUGCAUAGGUUCGAUUUUACAGAGGUAUGGCAUCACAUUUGUCAAGUUAUUUGAACAGACAUGCAUGAUUAUUGUGUGUAUAUUAUUAUUAUUAUUAUUAUUCAGGAUGACAUGAUCAGGAGGUGGUGGUGUUCUGUUCUCCUGGACAGCUUUACUCCGCAAAUAGCUCAACCACUGAGGGGAGGAACUUCACCAUUCACCAUGUCUUCAGGCAGAGUCCAGCAAAGCAGAUGGUUUAGGGUUGUGCUCCGAAGUUUUUCGGAAAGCGGCACAGUUUGCCUGGCUAGACAUUGUGGCCAACUGGAAGAAUUGUCCUCCUGUCUCCUGACCGGAACGAGUUCAGACGGAUGUACAGCAUCAGGGAAUGCUUGCAGUGCAGAGCCCUUUCAAGUUUAACCCACCAGGGUA